rnacentral:lncRNA from 1 species
UCUGGAGUCAAUAACUGAUCAAGGCAGGUUUGAUAAUUCUCAAAGGGACCGAUAUCGCCUGCUUCUGCAGCUUUGAACAAGACAGGAUCCAUAUAGGUCGUCAUACUAUUUUGUAGUUUAGAGAAACUCACUAGAUGAAAAGUAUACAAAUGAAGGGGAGGUGAAAUUAACCACUGUGGCUCAAAGGCAAGAGGUUCCACUCCUCAACUGAUCACAAGCUGCUGAUUUCUUCGGUAUUUAAGGGAAGAAAAGGCGUUAAUAACCACAAAUUACAUUUAUUUUCCUUUUUGAUAUUUUGUCGCAAUAUCUUUUCUUUUGCCCUGCUGGAAAGUUAUAUCUGUUUUUAUCAAAAUAAUAAGAAAAUAAAAAAUAAAUUGUUUGGCUCAUGAUCCAUCAUUAUUAUUGAACUUGGACUCGUCUAUGUGCACUACAAGAUUUCACAGUUUUACCGACGGACAAAUUCCGUCGGUGUGUAAUUAGAAGUUCGUCGGUGAUUUUUUUACCGACGUCAUCACCGACGGAUUACGUCCGUCGGCUUUACCUUCGUCGGUGAUUCCCCAUUCCGUCGCUAUAUCGGUCGGAAAAACAAAAAAACCAUUUGCCGAUGGUUUUACAGACGGAAUUUGUGCGCCAAAAAAAAAAAGAUUCCCGCUUGAAAUAUACCGACGGUUUUUUAUUCCGUCGAGAUAUUGUGAUUGACCGACGGAAACUAUCCGUCGGUAAAUCUGUCGGUGAGUGUAUGAAAUACCGACAGAAUAUGUCCGUCUGUAAAUUCGUCGGUGAUUGUGUGUUGCGAUGUCGCGGUCACACAAAUUAAUUACCCUAGCUUCAAACACAACACACAAGAUAGUAUAGAGCAAGCAAGGGGUCGAUCCCACGAGGAAGUUUCAAGUCAGAUUUUUAUGUUGUACGUUAUGUAAUUGAGGGGGAUUUGGUUUGUGAUUAUCUAAACUAUGGCAGCAAUUAAACUAGCAAACAAAAUCAAUUAAAACCGAAACUUAUCAAGAAAAUAAACCUUGGUCGCAAGCACACAUCCAUCAACGGAAAUUAGAACCGAUCCUUGAAACGAAAAUUGCAGUUUAUAUUCUGAAAUUUUAUCUUUUCUUAACGUUGAUUAAUUAACGGAUCCGCCGUAUAACUAAUCCUAACCAACAAACAAUCAAAGUGUCCGCACUAAUGAUUCAAUUUAAUGGUAGCUUUAAGAACUAGAUAAUUUCAUCAAGAUUAACAUACAAGCUGUCCGCAGCUUGUGUCACUUUGUUCAAAUGUUCUCCCUAAGUUCAAUAACGUAGUUCCGCCACAAUUAUCAAGCUUAGUUGCUUCACAAGUUCAUAUAUCACAACUCCGGUUUUGAUAUUAAACUUAGCAAUAGAUUGUUCACAACAAUAACUUAGAGUCCGCUCUAGCAAUCAUCAACAACAAUCAUAGGAAAUAUGCAUAGGAAAACAAUGAUACUCAUUCAUAACAUAAACUGAAAAUAAAAGGAAGAAUAAAUCUCACGGUUCUUGAAAUCCGAAGGUUUGUUGUGUCCUUGCAACCAAGAAAAGAGCUUAGCCUUGCAUAACUAUUGAACAACUACUUCUAAAGAAUGAAAAGAACAUGAUUUUUGGGUUUGUAGAGGAGAGAAUUUGUGUUUAUUCUCUGCUGGCUGCUGCCUCCUUCUGCUCUCCCUCUUUUCUGCUGGUUGCUGCCUCCUUCUCUCUUUCUUUUUAUAUGCUAAGAAACCCUAGUCUCUAUUUUACAAAAUAGUCCUUCCUUGAGUUGGGAGUUUACAUUUAAGUACUUCAAUAACUAUUUUUCCUAAAAGGAGAAAUAGCCUUGCAUGAAAUCUUCAAGCUCUGACUUAGAGGAGCUAAAUUGCUGAUAUAAAAACUUGGAUGUCGGUUUAGAUGCUUCGGAAUGUAAUUUGGACUUGUUUCUUCACGAAACCUGUUUGCUGGCAGAAUUCAGUUAUCAUCUUUGAAAAAUCAUAUCUCCCUCAUAUGACAUCUUUUUUGGCUGAAAUUUGGAGCGUUGAUAGGUCUUUAAGUCAGGAAUCCACGAAAAUUGAGUUUUCAUUAAUUGGACUUCUGUAGCUCCAGAUAUUAAAUUUUGAAUGGCCAAAGGUCAACACUGGCAGAAUGCGAGAUUUGACUUUGCAGGAUGUGAUUUCCAUGAUCUUUCUCUUUUUAUUUUUCUUGCAUUACAUUUCCAGAAAGGUAUGGAUGUUAGCUUUUUAGUGCCACUGGAAUCACUUCAUUUCGAUCUCUAGAACUCACGCUCUGCACAAAACAUCAAAUCUGCCAAUUACCUCCAAUUUACUCCUUUUUGCAUCUUCCAUCCAAAAGUGCCUUCAAAACAUAAAACAAAGAAUAUCAAGGCAUUAUAUAUAUAAAACAUAGGCAAAACACUAGGUAGAUGUGGGUGAAACUAUCGAAUAAUAUGGUUACAUCAAAUACCCCCACACUUAGCUCUUGCUCGUCCUCGAGAAAGGAUAAAUAAAAUUAAAUUGAAAAUAACUAUGAUCAAUCUCUUAAUCUCCCAUCAAUGUCCAAGAGUACAAGCAUUAUAAACAAGAAUACAAUCAAGAAGGAUAAAUGGUAUAAAUUUUCAUGAAUUUAUUUACAUGCAAACUUCAAAACUCAAUUAAUCGUCAGGAUUUAAAUGAAAUCUAUGCCAUGCCAAAGUGAUAGGUCCUCUCAUUGAUAUACACUCCAACACUCAUGUGUUUAGGGUUUAUGUGUUUAAAUCUCUCAAAUUCAAUCAAUGAAUAUGUUCUACCAUAAGCUUGCUCUUCAAUCUCAUCUCCAUUACUAACAUAUUUACAAGCAAUACAUGAAUCGAAAGGUCUUAUUUUCCGGUUGUAAUGGGGCUAAGGUUAAGGUGAGGUAAAAGAGAGUAAAAGAAAAGGUUCAAACCAAAGAAAGUAGAGCAUUCUGAAAAAUGAUAUUUCAAACAAGAUAUUCCAUCAAAACACAUAAAUUUUCCAUCUUUAAUCACCAAUGCUUAACUCCUUUUGAUUUCAAUCUCUCUCAACAUAAAAUCUUAAGAACAUAAAGAAACACUUUUUUCUUUCAUUUUCUUUUUCUUUUUUUUUUUUUUUUUACCUUUGGCAAUUUUGCCCAUCUUUUCAUCAAGUAUCACUUUUUUUUUUCACAUAACUUCCAACCAUAAUUCCAUGAGAUAUCACAAAUAUAUGCUCUACUAAUCCUUGGCCAGGGGAAAAGGAAAACAUAUAAAAAGUUAAGGCUUAUACAUGGAUAAAGCAAAGAAAAGAUAAACAAGCUCAAAAGGGGCUCACUAAGGAUAAUAUGCUUUAGGUUGGCUUUUUUGCUCAAGUGGUUAAAAUUCCUAAUGCCUUUAUCAUCUUCAUGAUGUAAUGCGAAUGUAAUCUCAACAAGAUAUGAAGCAAGUUCUAGAGAUACAUAUCAUUGAAAGAAUGCACAAUCAAAGAAUAUAAUGUUGAAGGCUCAAAAGCUUGCAUUGGUAUAACACUAUAAAGUCAACAUGGCAUAUUCUCAAAGUCAAUCCCUAAACCAAUUAAACCUAAAAAUUUGCAUGCAUACUCCUUCAUUUGAUUUAUAUCUUCAUCUAGCUCAAUUAAUUCUCAUACAUAAUACUCAUAUUCUCAAAAACCAAUGGGAGUUAAAAAGAUCAAACACAAUUUUUUUUUUUAAAGAACAACAAAGAAAACUAAAAUUCUUCCAACACCCCCACACUUAAAACACAACAUUGUCCUCAAUGUUGAAAUAAAAGCAAAGGAAUAUAAGAGAAUGAUAGAAAAUAAAAUAAAAUGCGAAAAAAAUAAAAGAUAAGGAAAAGGAAAGCAAAUCUGAUUGUUUUUCUUUUUGUGCUGGGUUGCCUCCCAGUAAGCGCUUUUGUUUUAUGUCAUUGGCUUGACAUGUGGCAUGCUCAUUCUUCAUAGAUUGGUUCAGCUAACUCUACAGAAGCGGUGAGUUCUGUCGUCCAACCUUCAUAGAAAGGUUUCAAACGAUGCUCAUUGACCUUGAGUACUUUGUUGGUUUCUAAACUUGUAAUUUCAACUGCACCAUAAGGAAAAACAUUAGAAACAACAAAGGGUCCAAUCCAACGAGAGCGCAAUUUUCCAGGAAAAAGUUUCAAACGCGAAUGAUAAAGAAGGACUUUGUCUCCAACAUGAAACUCCUUUCUUGUAAGCAUUCGGUCAUGAAGAUUCUUAGUCUUUUCUUUGUAAAUCCUUGCAUUCUCGUAAGCAUCAUUUCAAAUUUCUUCUAACUCUUGCAGUUGCAGUUUUCUUGCAAUCCCAGCAGCAUCAUAAUCCAUGUUACAUUGUUUAAUGGCCCAAAAAGCUUUGUGUUCAAGCUCCACCGGUAGAUGACAUGCUUUCCCAUAAAUCAUUCUAUAAGGUGACAUUCCUAUAGGUGAUUUAUAAGCAGUCCGAUAAGCCCAAAGUGCAUCUCCAAGACGUAGACUCCAAUCUCGCCGGUUAGGUUGCACUGUUUUCUCCAAAAUGGACUUGAUUUCUCGAUUUGAAAUUUCAGCUUGGCCAUUCGUUUGAGGAUGAUAUGCUGUGGAAGUUCGAUGAGUCACAUGAUAUUUGCGUAGCAAUGCUUCCAUGGAACGAUUGCAGAAAUGAGUGCCACGAUCACUAAUGAUAGCUUUAGGGAUUCCAAACCUGUCAAAUAUAUGAGUCCUGACAAAAUCUAAAACAACCUUAGCAUCGUUAGUUCGUGUGGCUUUCGCCUCAAUCCAUUUGGACACGUAAUCAACAACAAGAAGAAUAUAAAGAUUGCCAAAAGAAGAAGGAAAUGGACCCAUAAAGUCAAUACCCCAAACAUCAAAAAUUUCACUUACAAGAAUAUUUGUUAAAGGCAUUUGAUUCUUAUGAGUGAUAUUACCUGUUCUUUGGCAUUUUUCACAUGAUUUGCAGAAGUGAUAUGCAUCUUUAAAAAUAGAAGGCCAAUAAAAACCACUUUCAAGUACCUUGUGGGCUGUUCUUUUUGCUCCAAAAUGCCCACCACAAGAAUGAGAAUGACAAAAAGUGAGAAUGGAAUGAAAUUCAUCUUGUGGUACACACCUCCUAACUACUUGAUCCGCACAAAAUUUCCAAAGGUAAGGAUCGUCCCAAAAAUAAUAUUUAGCAUUAGCUCGUAACUUAUCUUUUUGGGGUUUAGACAAACCUGGAGGGAAUUCUUUGGUGACUAAAUAGUUUACCAAAUCAGCAUACCAUGGUCUUGUAGAGGAAUGCAACAUAUACAACUGCUCAUCAGGGAAUGUCUCUCUUAUUGUUUCGAUCUGUAUAUCCUCGGUCCUUAGUCGGCUCAAGUGAUCAGCCACAUGGCUUUCGGCACCUUUUUUGUCUUUGAUCUCAAGAUCGAAUUCUUGUAAAAGCAAGAUCCACCUAAUCAGUCUUGGUUUGGACUCCUUCUUCUUCAAAAGAUACCUGAGAGCUGCAUGGUCAGUAAAAACAAUGACUUUUGUACCAAGUAGAUAUGACCUGAGUUUUUCAAGAGCAAACACCACUGCAAAAAAUUCCUUUUCAGUUGUAUGGUAAUUGCAUUAUGCUCCAUCCAACAUGCGAGAAGCAUAGGCGAUAACAUGCAAAUUCUUCCCAAUUCUUUGCCCAAGCACAGCUCCUACCGCAUAGUCACUCGCAUCACACAUUAUCUCAAAAGGUUCAUCCCAAUUUGGUGGUUGGAUGAUAGGGGCAGAUGUGACACGUCUCUUAAGCUCAUCAUGGGCAUCUUUACAUGCUUGAUCAAACACAAAAUCCACUUCUUUGGCUAAUAGUCUGCACAAGGGUGCUGUAAUCUUCGAGAAAUCUUUGAUAAAGCGUCGAUAGAAACCUGCAUGGCCUAGAAAAGAACGAACUUCCCUCACGCAUGAGGGGUAAGGCAAUGAUGAAAUAACAUCUAUCUUAGCUUUAUCAACCUCUAAUCCACGUGAAGACACAACAUGCCCAAGAACUAUUCCUUGUUCUACCAUAAAAUAACACUUUUCAUAGUUCAAGACAAGGUUAGUUUCAAUGCACCUUUUCAAGAUCAAAGAUAAAUUUUCUAGACAUUUAUCAAAAGAAUCACCAUACACCGUGAAAUCAUCCAUAAAAACCUUGAUUAUUCUUUCAACAUAGUCAGAAAAAAUACUCAUCAUGCAUCUUUGAAAAGUUGCAGGAGCAUUACAGAGACCAAAAGGCAUUCUCCUAUAUGCAUAUGUACCAAAUGGACAUGUAAAUGUAGUCUUUUCUUGAUCCUCAGGAUUAAUAACAAUCUGAUUGUAUCCACUAUAUCCAUCAAGAAAGCAAUAAAAAGACUUACCUGCUAGGCGUUCAAGCAUUUGAUCCAUGAAUGGUAAUGGGAAAUGAUCUUUACGUGUAGAAAGAUUGAGCUUUCUGUAAUCAACACACAUUCUCCAUCCACUCGAGAUGCGAGUAGGAAUGAGCUCAUCAUUUUUGUUUUUUACCAACGUGAUUCCGGUCUUUUUGGGCACCACAUGGAUUGGCGCAACCCAUUUACUGUCAGUGAUGGGGUAAAUGACUCCUGCAUCUAACAAUUUCAAAAUUUCAGCUUUCACUACCUCCAUCAUAGGCGGGUUCAACCUCCUUUGCAUUUCCCUUGUUGGUUUUGCGUUGUCCUCCAAUAGUAUGUGAUGCAUACACAUUGAGGGACUAAUGCCCUUGAUGUCGGCUAAAGUCCAUCCAAUGGCCGUCUUGUGAUCACACAACAACUUCACAAGUUUUUCCUCUUGCAUAUUUGUUAAACCUUUUGCUAUGAUAACGGGAAGUGUAUUGUUGUCGCCAAUGAAUACAUACUUCAAAUUAUCGGGCAAAGGUUUUAAUUCUAACUCGGGGGCCUGUAAAAUAGAUGGCAAAAGCUUUUUAUGUGAGAGUACUAAAUCAACAAAAAUAUUACCAUGGGGAACGGUUUGCAAAGCUUGUAAGGCCAAUACUGAUUCGUGCACGUUUUGGGGAACACACACGUGCCUCUCCAUCUCUUCUAUCUUGGUGAAAUCAUAGCCAUAGCUCAAAGCUAUGCUUAAUCCGUCUUCAAUCAAAAUCACAAACUUGCUGCACACACUUAUCAAUUUGAUCAUAGCAUGUGAUAGAAUAAACAUUGCUAUAAGGAUAUUUCAUUGCAUCAUGAAAAUUGAAUUCAAUUUUUUCAUCUCCUACCUCCAUAGACAAGGUAUCCUUACCACAAUCAAUCUUUGCGUUGGCGGUUUUCAAGAAUGGUCUCCCAAACAAUAUAGGAGUGCUGGUUGAUGAAUCACAAGAAUCAUGUUCCAUAUCAAGAAUAUAAAAAUCACAUGGAAUAACCAAACUAUCAAUCUUGACUAGGACAUCUUCUAUCACACCAAGUGGGUAAACAAAACUACGAUCCGCAAGUUGUAUUACAAUGCUAGUUUUAUUCAAAGGCUCUAGACUAAGAGAAUCAUAAACAUGUUUAGGCAUAACACUAAUGGAUGCACCUAAAUCGCAUAAAGCUCUUUUAAAACUAGCAUUACCAAUAACACAUGGGAUAGUAAACGCACCUGGGUCUUUUUGUUUCAAAGGUAGAUUCUUUUGAACAACGGCAGAUACAACUUCACCCAUACUUACCGUUUCAUGACCUUUGAGUUUGAAAGCUCUCUUGGUAGUACACAACUCCUUCAAGAAUUUCGCAUAUUUGGGAAUUUGCUUGAUAGCAUCAAGUAAAGGAAUAUUGAGUUCUACUUUCUUGAAAACCUCUAAAAUCUCUUUUUCUUUGUCCUCUUUCUUUGACCUAGAAGAAUUCACAGGAAAGGGUGCAAUUGUUUUAAAACUGGAAUUAAUUGAGUGAGAAGUUACCUUUGGAGUGUUGGUCUUUAUUUCAGUUUGUGGAGGAAGAGGAUGUUCCUUCUUUGUACUCAAUUCAGUUUCUAUCUCUUCUUCUUCCUCCAUCUCAAUUUGUUUCAACCUUUUCUCUUCAAGUUCUUUCCCACUUCGCAGCAUGAUUGCACUAACAUUCUCUUUUGGAUUUAAUGCUUGGGAGGGUAACUUUCCAUUCAUUUGUGCUUCCAAUUUUCCUACACUUGAAGCUACUUGCCCCAUUUGCUUUUCCAAGUUGUGAAUACUGGACCUUGUUUCCUGUUGAAAAGACAUGACAUUUUGUUGUAAGGUUACAGUAUUAGAAGCCAAAGUUUUCAUCAUCUCACGAAGAUCAUCAUUGGAUGAUGACCCCAUAACAUUGGAGUUUGUUAAUGGAGGGGGUUGUCUUGCUUGAUAAUUUUGUUGGGGCUGAAAUCCAUGGGGAUGGAACUGUCGGCCUUGAUUGCCUUGUUGGGAUGGGUUGCCAUAGCGUAAGUUGGGAUGAUCUCUCCAUCCAGGAUUGUACGUGUUGGAAAAGGGAUCAUAUUUACGCUGGGGCUGUCCGUUGAAUGUUCCAUUAAUUGCAUGAGCUUGUUCAAUGUAGUCUUCUUGCAUUGUUGGGCAUAUAUCCGAAGCAUGUCCUUUUAAGGAGCAUAUGCUACAAACUUUCACCUGCUGCACAUUUCCACAAGCCAAAGAACGCACAAGAGAAGUAAGAUCAUUAACUUUAUUUUCAAGGUUAGAAAUACUUACCUCAUUCACUCGUUUGUUGGAGAAGUCUCCACGAGUGCCAAACUGUUUUGAGUUGGCUGCCAUGUUUGAGAUCAAUUGGCGUGCAGCCUCGGGUGUCUUAUCCACCAAUGCGCCUCCACUUGCAGCAUCAAUGAUACUACGGUCAGUAGGCAUCAAUCCUUCAUAGAAAUAUUGAAUGAAUAGCUGAUCGGGUAUUUGAUGAUAAGGACAUUGAAUGCAGAGUUGCUCAAAUCUUUCCCAAUAUUCGGAGAGUGUCUCUCCAUGAGAUUGCCGAAUCCCACAUAUUUCUUUCCUUAUGUUGGCAACUCGAGAUGCUGGAAAAUACUUCUCAAGGAAAAUCUUCUUCAUGGCAUUCCAAGUUCCAAUAGAUCCUGGGAGAAUAGAGAAAAGCCAUGCCUUUGCUGCCCCCUUCAAAGAGAAAGGGAAAGCUUUCAACUUAACUUGUUCUUCAUCAACUCCAUUCAGUUUCAUGCCAACACAAACCAUAUGGAACUCCUUGAGAUGAGUAUGAGGAUCUUCUCCUGCAAGACCAUUAAAUGUUGGUAACAAAUGUAUAAAACCAGAUUUGAGCUCAAAGUUUACAUUAUUGUCAAUGUUUAUGCACAAUGGUUGAUUUUCCACAUUAGGAGCAGCAAGCUCCUUGAGUGUUUGUUGUCGUGCAAUAGCCAUGGUGUUGAGGCGAGCUUCCUUUCUUAACCUGCGUAAAGUGCUUUCUAUUUCAAGAUCAACCUGCAGUUGAAUUUGAUUAGUAGAACGGGUCACAGGCAUAAAUUGCUAAGAAAACUCAAAAGAAAGUAACCACACAAGAGAUCGAAAACAAUGCAAAUUGUACGAAAAUCCUACGAUAGAAAACUAAAACUGCCUAAAAACACUAGAAAACAGCGGAAUUUGGCCUCAAUAGGGUGGGGCUAGUGAUAUAUCACUAGUCCUGUUCAGAACGUCGUUUCCCUUCAGGAAAAAAAAGGAAGAUACCUAAUUCCACCAAAAACUCUGUUUUGAACAGUACCGCUGCCGCAGGUGAACAGUACCGUCGCAAGCAAAAAUUCUGUUUCUCUUUUUUUUUUCAGAAAUAUAAAUAACAAUCACAACAACUAAAAAUAACAGUACAAGCACAAGAAUCAACUAAAAUUACCUCCCCGGCAACGGCGCCAAAAUUUGUUGCGAUGUCGCGGUCGCACAAAUUAAUUACCCUAGCUUCAAACACAACACACAAGAUAGUAUAGAGCAAGCAAGGGGUCGAUCCCACGAGGAAGUUUCAAGUCAGAUUUUUAUGUUGUACGUUAUGUAAUUGGGGGGAUUUGGUUUGUGAUUAUCUAAACUAUGGCAGCAAUUAAACUAGCAAACAAAAUCAAUUAAAACCGAAACUUAUCAAGAAAAUAAACCUUGGUCGCAAGCACACAUCCACCAACGGAAAUUAGAACCGAUCCUUGAAACAAAAAUUGCAGUUUAUAUUCUGAAAUUUUAUCUUUUCUUAACGUUGAUUAAUUAACGGAUCCGCCGUAUAACUAAUCCUAACCAACAAACAAUCAAAGUGUCCGCACUAAUGAUUCAAUUUAAUGGUAGCUUUAAGAACUAGAUAAUUUCAUCAAGAUUAACAUACAAGCUGUCCGCAGCUUGUGUCACUUUGUUCAAAUGUUCUCCCUAAGUUCAAUAACGUAGUUCCGCCACAAUUAUCAAGCUUAGUUGCUUCACAAGUUCAUAUAUCACAACUCCGGUUUUGAUAUUAAACUUAGCAAUAGAUUGUUCACAACAAUAACUUAGAGUCCGCUCUAGCAAUCAUCAACAACAAUCAUAGGAAAUAUGCAUAGGAAAACAAUGAUACUCAUUCAUAACAUAAACUGAAAAUAAAAGGAAGAAUAAAUCUCACGGUUCUUGAAAUCCGAAGGUUUGUUGUGUCCUUGCAACCAAGAAAAGAGCUUAGCCUUGCAUAACUAUUGAACAACUACUUCUAAAGAAUGAAAAGAGCAUGAUUUUUGGGUUUGUAGAGGAGAGAAUUUGUGUUUAUUCUCUGCUGGCUGCUGCCUCCUUCUGCUCUCCCUCUUUUCUGCUGGUUGCUGCCUCCUUCUCUCUUUCUUUUUAUAUGCUAAGAAACCCUAGUCUCUAUUUUACAAAAUAGUCCUUCCUUGAGUUGGGAGUUUACAUUUAAGUACUUCAAUAACUAUUUUUCCUAAAAGGAGAAAUAGCCUUGCAUGAAAUCUUCAAGCUCUGACUUAGAGGAGCUAAAUUGCUGAUAUAAAAACUUGGAUGUCGGUUUAGAUGCUUCGGAAUGUAAUUUGGACUUGUUUCUUCACGAAACCUGUUUGCUGGCAGAAUUCAGUUAUCAUCUUUGAAAAAUCAUAUCUCCCUCAUAUGACAUCUUUUUUGGCUGAAAUUUGGAGCGUUGAUAGGUCUUUAAGUCAGGAAUCCACGAAAAUUGAGUUUUCAUUAAUUGGACUUUUGUAGCUCCAGAUAUUAAAUUUUGAAUGGCCAAAGGUCAACACUGGCAGAAUGCGAGAUUUGACUUUGCAAGAUGUGAUUUCCAUGAUCUUUCUCUUUUUAUUUUUCUUGCAUUACAUUUACAGAAAGGUAUGGAUGUUAGCUUUUUAGUGCCACUGGAAUCACUUCAUUUCGAUCUCUAGAACUCACGCUCUGCACAAAACAUCAAAUCUGCCAAUUACCUCCAAUUUACUCCUUUUUGCAUCUUCCAUCCAAAAGUGCCUUCAAAACAUAAAACAAAGAAUAUCAAGGCAUUAUAUAUAUAAAACAUAGGCAAAACACUAGGUAGAUGUGGGUGAAACUAUCGAAUAAUAUGGUUACAUCAUUGUGGAAGCUACUGUUAAAUGCCGACGGAUUAAGUCCGUCGGUAAGUCUGUCGGUGAGUGUUUAAAAUACCAACCGAAUUCAUCCGUCGGUAAAAUCCUUGGUAAUAGUUUUUUUCUUAAUUUGUUUUUAAAAAAUUAUUUAGGAUAUAUAAUAUAAAACUAUAUAAAUUAAUUGUAAUACAAACCAAUUAUGCAAAUAAAAUUUAUAUUAAACAUAAAAAAAAAAACAAAGUUAAAUAAUAUUCAUUACAAACUGAAUAUGUUUCAAGAAAAAUAAUAAAUGAAGUUUUAAAGGUAAAUAAUGUUGAUUACAAAUUAAUAUAAAGAUGAUGGAGCUUGAGGAGGAGGAGGAGAUCGUGGCGGAGGCUGGUGGUUAUACGGCCAAAAAGGAUUAGGCGCACAUGUUCCGCUAUUUGACAAUUUCAUAAUCAUUUCGUAAAGCUCGUCAUAAGCCGCUUUUUGCUGUUCCUGAGCCGCUUCAUACUCCGCUUUUUGUUGUGCUUGAGACGCUUUGAAUUGCUCAGACUCCGCUCUUUGUUCCGCUCUUUGUUGUGCAUGAGACGCUUUGAGUUAUGCGUACUCCGCUUGUAGGUUAUCGUAUUUCUCGGUGAGUUGCUGCAAAGCCACGAACUCCUUAGAUUAGGAGCUCGAUAUUGAUUGGGAGCUCCCAACAGUUGAAACACUACGGGUCGACCGCAAGUUGUCGGUCGUAGUGUUGGAGAGCCCGUAAACCCGAUUUUUAUCGGGUCCACCUGACGAGCCAACCUCCAUCCAUAAAUCCGGAUCGAAUUCUGGAUGGGUCAAAGUAUCGUCCCCGUAUCUCUCCCUCAACCGAUUAUUAUAGGUCUCCUGAAAAUAAAAUAAAAAGUAAUCAUCAUAUUCAAUACAAUAAACAUAAUAACUUACAUAAUAACUUACAAAAUAAAAUGGUUGAACAAACAUACCACGAAAUGCUGAGCACGGUUAUCAACGAACUGUUGCGCCCCCUUCUGGCGGUCUUGACUCCGCACGUGCGUCUCCACAAACAGCUCCAUCGGGCUCGGCUCACGUCCAAGAGACGCAGCCUAUAAUGAAAAAAGAUAUAUUAACAACAACUGAAUUUAACGAUAUAUUUCAUUUAAAUUAAUCUUACCAUCCGUUUCGCAUGUGCAGCAAACGGAACGGAGCCGCCAGUGUGAGUUGUCACCCCGCCAUGAAUUGGCCAAUUCCGGUUGCCAGCACCGGACUGUGAGCGUCGUGUGAACCGCUCAGACGUCACGUGCUCAAGAUAGUGCGGCCAUAUAUCUUCCGGGAUGUAUAUCGGUUUGAAAUCCCUCCAAACCACAACAUCGUUCCAGCCUUGGAAACCCCUAUCCCUCGCGGUUUUUUUGCCUUUUUCUGUGCUUCAUACCUAAAAUCACGCAACCAAAAAUUACAUUUCGAAACAUAAAUUUUUGUCUAAAAAAAAUCAUGUAUUGUUUUCGAUCUUACCUAGUUGCCGCGUGAUUUUCCCACACCCUCCUCAUAACAGUGUUAUGCUCAAUGUCCCAGCAGAAUUUGUGCUUUGUAUAAAUAAACAAGUUUAAAUAAAAAUAAUAAUUUAUUUACAAUUAUAUUAAUAAGCUGAAAAUUAUAAAUUAAUACCAACCUCAAACCUGUUAAACCAUGCAUUGAUUUGAGGCAUCCAUUCAGGAUGCUUGGAUAUCUGACUCUAUUGAAACAAUGGAAUCUCCAUCGACGAUUUAAACGCCGAUGAUAUUACUCGGGCGGCUUCAAUGUUUGUGAACCUGAAAAUAAAUGAAAUAAAUUCAAUAGUGAUUACUUGAUAAAUUAUGUUGUAAUUUUUUUAAAAAAAAAACUAAAACCUUAACAAACUUACAUUGAAAGGUCGUCCUUCCACUGUGCCUCGUACUUGCGGGUAAAUUGAUUCCGCUGCGAAGGCACGCCGCCUCUGCGCUGUGAAGUACCGCUGGAAGCGGCAGCAUCGGUUGACGGCGCAGGUGGUGUAGGUGCCUCUUCUUGAGAGGCACCUAAGGAAAUAUCAUCCUCGCUGCUAGACGAACUAGCUGCGACCGCACCUGAGCGACCAGCUCUGGUUUUCGUUCUACGCAUCUACACAAUUUGAUACAAAUAAUUAUAUAAUUAAAUUCAAAUGUAAAAAAAAAAAUUCGACAGCACCUCCUCUAUACCGGAUACUACCCAAAUCCACAAACCUGCACAUAUUAACAAUAGCCACAACCAAUUUACCCAAUCUAUACUAAUUAUUCCAACAUAUUCAAUCACUAAUCCUAAGGUAAAUUCAACAUUAAGAAUUACAAUUCAAGUAAUUAUUCAAUAAUUAUGCCAAUACAACAAAACAAUAAAAAAAUAAAAAAACUGUAGAAUAACAAUCAAAAUAAAUGGAAAAAAUUAAACACAAAGCAUGCAACAAUAGAGUAAAACUAAUAAUUAUUCCAACAUAUUCAAUUACUAAUUCUACGGUAAAUUCAACAUUAACAAUUACAAUUCAAGUAAUUAUUCAAUAAUUAUGCCAAUACAACAAAACAAUAAAUUAAAAAAAAAACUCUAGAAUAACAAUCAAAAUAAAUGGAAAAAACUUAAACACAAAUCAUGUAAUAAUAAAGUAAAAUUAAUAAUUAUUCCAACAUAUUCAAUUACUAAUUCUAUGGUAAAUUCAACAUUAACAAUAAAAAUUCAACAAAUUAACUAAUAAUAAUUAUGCCAAUACAACAAAAAAAAAAACUUCAAAAAAUUCAAAAAAAAAACUAUAUACUUUAGCAAUGAAUUAUGCAAAAAAAACUAUAGACUUUAUCUACAUUACAAAAAAUACACCAAAACAAAAAAAAUAACCAAAAAAAUAGCAAAAAAAACUAUUAAAGUAAAAUGAAAUCGAGGAAACACUAACCUUUUAAACCGAUGAAGAUGAUGAAGAAAACUUGCUAGAGAUUGGAGGUGAAAGCUUUGAAGAAUGGAGAGGAAAAAAAAUCAAAAGCUUAAGGUGAGAAACGAAGGAGAAGAAAAAAUGAACUGAACGGGCGGUCACUUAAACUUAUAUGGUAGUUUUACCGACGGAUAUAAAAUUAAUUAUUAUUUUAAUUUAUUCCGUCGGUGAUGUGUUAAAAAUCCGUCGGUAAAUUUUGAAUUUCGCACCAAAAUUUUUAAUGGCCCUCCAUAUUUUUCGUGGUCCGUCGGUAAUUCCAUCGGCAAGAUUACGCGGUCAGAGGCGCAUUUAAUGCGCAACCCUUUGAAAUUCGCGCGGUCCGUCGGUAAUGUUGUCGGUAAAAUUGAACCGCCGACAACUUACCGACGGAUUUAAAUUCGUCGGUGUGGCCGUCGGUGAUAGGGUGGCAUUUCAAGUAAUUAUUUUCGACCUCUCUGUGAAAUGCCGAUGGGCGUAAGGCCAUCGGUGUGGCCGUCGGUGAUUGGGGCAUUUCAAGUAAUUAUUUUCGAACUCUCUGUGAAAUGUCGAUGGACGUAAGUCCGUCGGUGUGGUCAUCGGUGAUUGGGGCAUUUCAAGUAAUUAUUUUCGAACUCUCUGUGAAAUGCCGACGGACUGACGUCCGUCGGUAUGGACGUCGGUGAUUGGGUGGCAUGCCAAGUAAUUAUUUUCGAACUCUCUGUGAAAUGCCGACGGACUAAGUCCGUCGGUGUGGCCGUCGGUGAUGUGGUGGCAUUUCAAGUAAUUAUUUCAUGUCACAAAAUAUAUCAUCCAUUAUCAAUAAUUAUUUCAAGUAAUUAUCUCAUAAUUGUGGCAUUUCAACUAAUUAUUUCAAGUAAUAAAUAUUUUGUGUUUCAAAAUAUAUAUAUAUCAUUCAUAAUCUAAAUUACAUGAAAAAAAGGGUUUUACAUAGGGCUUCAUUUUGGUAGUUAGUCAGAAUUUUCUUCUUCUUCGUCAUCAAUUGAAUUGUCAUCACCUUCAUCGCAAUCUUCACUAUGAAUAUCAUCUUCUUCAUCGAUAUUUGGUUGUCCGCUAGAGCUCAAAACAAAAUUUAACUCAUCUGCGUCAACAUCAACAAGACUAUCAUCGAAAACAUGAAAAUUUGAAUUUUCUUCCAAUUCAAUCGAAGGAGCAACUCAAUAUGGUUCAACCACCUCACUAACUUGAAAGACUUCAUCUCGCACACUUGUGUCUUCGUUCUCAUCCUGAACAACCUCGACACGACCCCGGGGUUUCGUUUUUAAAACGGACAACCAAUCCACUCUUGAUCGAUCCUUUCUAAAUGAAGGGGUGUAUGUGUAAUAAACUUGUUGACAUUGCUUUGCGAAAACAAAGACAUCGUUUAUGUUGCGGAGUCUAGCUUUUGAGUUGAUUUCGACCAGACCAUAGUGCGGAUCAACUCUGAUUCCUCUGUCAGUCGUGUCAUACCAAUAGCAUUUGAAUAAAAACACUAUAUUCUGCUCGUUAUGAUAUUGCAGUUCGACGACCUCUUCUAAUCUACCAUAGUAGUCAACUUCUAACUCACUACUAGUGGAUCCCUUAAUACAAACACCGUUGUUGUAUGUCUUUCUUCCUUGCCCGUAUUCUUCAGUAUGGAAAACAUAUCCAUUGACAAAAUACCCGUUGUAGCAUUUACAUUUUCUUUCAGGCCCCAGGCUUAGUAAAGACAAUGACUUAGGUGCACUCCUUCCCAUUUGAUAAACCUGGCAUGUAAUGUACAUCAAUAAACAGUAAAUGAACGAGAAUCUCGUAAUGACAUGCAUACGUACAGUAAUUUUGCAAGUUAGAAUGAGUUUGUAAUAGUGCUUACAUGUGUUCUGAACCACGUGGCAAACUGCUCAUCUUGUAAUUGAAAGAUCUGGGAUUCAGUCAGCUGUGAGUUAUUGGAGAGCAAAUAUUGAUGAUGUUGCCUGCAAGUGAUAAUGAGUAUAUGAUAUUACAAUAUAUAAUUAACAGUAUAUUACUAACAAAGUUUAAUUAGUAUAAACUUACUGAAUAAAAGGUCUCAGCUCAUCACAGUUAAAUAGAACAUAGUUGUGUGCUUGUUUGAACUCUAUUUCCGACAAAUAUCUUCAUCUUACGACAUUUUUAGGUGUGGGUCGUCCAGUAUUGGAGAAUAUUGACAAGUUCCCACUGGAAGGCACUUCACCGCCAUCAUCAUGCCGUGGAACGCGAUUGAUUCUCGUUCUCAGAUGAGGUUCGAAAUAGUACGAGAUAAAUGUUGAGAUCUCCUCAACAAUAUAGGCCUCACAUAUCGAAGCCUCAACAUGCACCUUGUUCUUAACCUUUUUCUUGAGAUUAAACAAGUACCUGUAUUGAAUUAAUUAAGUAUUUUCAAUUAAGAAAAACAUAGAAAAUACUUUUAUAUAUGAAUUACAUUUCAACUGUAAUAUCUAACCGUUCGAAUGGGUACAUCUAUCUAUAUUGGACUGGUCCUCCAGCUUUUUCCUCGAAUGGUAGAUGUAUAGGGAGAUGCUCCAUUGAGUCAAAAAAUGAUGGAGGGAAUAUCAUCUCAAGUUUGCAUAGUGUCUCGACGAUAUUCGUUUGAAGCCUCUCAAUGUGAUCAACAUUCAACUUGCUGGAGCAUAUAUCUCUGAAGAAAUGACUUAUCUCCGUGAGUGCAUCCCAUAUUCCCUUUGGCAACAAAUCACGAAAAGCUAAUGGGAUGAGUGUUUGCAUAAACACGUGGCAAUCAUGACUCUUCAUUCCAUACAAUCUGCAGUCCUCUAUAUUAACCAGCCUUGAUAUGUUCGAUGCAUGUCCAUCCGGAAAACGCAGACUCUUAAGCCAUUUGUAGACUAGCAGUUGUGCGUUUUUCUCUAACACGAAGCUUGCUCUUGGUUUUGCGACCCGUGACUCAUCAUAAACCAACUCCAUAUUUUUACGGUUACAGUAUAAAGCUAUAUCCAAUCUAGCCUUGAUGUUGUCCUUUGUCUUCCCCUUCACAUUCAUGACGGUGUUGAAAAUAUUCUCAAACAUGUUCUUUUCGAUGUGCAUGAUGUCAAGGUUAUGGCGGAGCAGAUUGGUCUUCCAAUAAGGAAGCUCAAAAAAGAUUCUUCGCUUUACCCAAUUAUGGGUCAAACCAAAACCAGGAAACUUUUGCUUACCUGAUUGAAGGCCAAACACAAUGUCACCGUACUCUGAGACAACAUCAUGCAAUUCUUCACCAGAAAGACGCGGGGAUGCAACAUCUUUUUCAACUCUGCCAACAAAGAAAUCUUUUCUAUUCUUUCUGUACCUGUGAUGAAGUGGCAAGAAGCGACGGUGACAGUCAAAAAAAGAAGCUUUACCUCCAUUUGCUAGCGUGAAUGCCUUGUUGUUUUCCAUGCAGUAUGGACAUGCGAGUUUCCCAUGCGUGCUCCAACCAGAAAGCAUUCCAUAAGCUGGAAAAUCAUUGAUAGUCCACAUCAAUGCCGCCCUCAUAAGGAAAUUUUGUUUCCUCGAUAUAUCAUAAGUCAGAGCUCCGGAGGACCACAACUGCGCCAACUCAUCAAUCAACGGUCGAAGACAAACAUCUAUAUUCCGCCCCGGGCUUCUUGGACCGGGUAUGACAGUAGAUAAAAACAUGAACUCCGGCCUCAUACACAUUCCCGGUGGCAAGUUAUAAACUGUGAGUAUGACCGGCCAACAAGAAUAAGGAGCAGCAAAUGACCCAAAUGGGUUGAAUCCGUCUGUACACAACCCAAGACGCACAUUCCUUGAUUUAGCUGAAAAGUAAGGAUGAACACUGUUAAAGCGUUUCCACGCUUCGCCGUCAAAAGGAUGAACCAUCACUCCAUCAACCGCAUGAUGUGCUUGGUGCCAUGUCAUGUGCUCAGCAGUCCUUGGUGACAUGAAUAACCUUUGCAGUCUAGGUGUGAUCGGGAAGUAUCUAAGUUUUUUAUAUGCCACUAGAGUCUUUCCCCUGCCAGUUCUAGGUUUGUAACGGGAAUGCCCGCAUGUCAUGCACUCGGUCAUCUCAGCAUUUUCAAGGUAGUAUAACAUGCAGAAGUUAGGGCACAUGUCAAUUUUCUGGUAUCCUAAACCGAGGGGUUUCAUCAUGGACUUCGCAGCAUAGAAGUUCUCUUUCAGCCUGUUCCCUUCAGGUAAAAUGCUUCUUGCCCAUUCAAUAAUCUUGUCAUACCCGGCCUCACUCAACCCGUGAUCUGACUUGAUGGUGAACACCUGUGCUACGACCGAUAAUUUACUGUGGUUCGUGCAGCCAUUCCAUAAUGGUUCGUCAGAAUCUUUCAACAAAUCAAAAAACCUAGCUGCAUCUACAUUAGGUUCUUCUUCUACGAUUGGACAUUGACUGCCAUUACCUUGAUUCAUUCUCAUUGCAUCCAUAACCAUAUUUCUGUAAGGAUUAGUGUUGUCAUUUGCCGUUUCAUGCACGUUGCUAGCACUAGAAGUAGACCCAACCACCGUUUCUUCCAUUCUCCUCUCACUCUCGCUAACAAAUACUUCUCCAUGUGCAUACCAACACUGGUAAUUCUCCAUAAACCCUUUGUGUAGAAGAUGCAUCAUUACAACAUCUGGAUGCAGAUACUUUUUAUUUUCACACUUCCUGCAUGGACACCUAAUACCGCCUCCAGUAAAAUUUCUGGGAAUAGAUGUUACGAAAUUAAUAAAACCCUGAACCCCAUUACAAUAAUCCAUCCUCCGCAAUCCUUGGGGUGAAUCUCGAUACAUCCAUGAACGAUCAUCCAUCACUUAUAUCGAACCUCUAUAAAAUUAUGAUGACAUCAUGUAUUAAUUAACUAAGUUAGGUAAAUAAACUUGUAAAAAUAUUACUUUAACUCGAGAUUAUCCAACAAACCAAUCACAACUUCUCAUAAAUAUUAAAUAUUCAUUAUCAUUUAUCAACGUCCAUACGAAUUAAAAUAUAUAAAUUUACGGAAAUUACCACUCCGCAAUACCAUUGAUAAAACUUUAAACGGGCCCAUUAAGCAAGCUAUUAAUUAUUUCAAAAUAGCACAUGUAAUUCAGUAAUUCCAUAAAGAAAUAACAAUUUACAAACAAAUACAAUCUUACAAAAUCUAAAACAAACCAUAACAGGUACAAAAUUAUACAUUCAUAUACUGCAAGUUUGUUUGAGAAAUAACAAUAAAACAUGUACAUCUACUAACAAAAUACAUAUACUAAAAAAACAAUAAAAUUGACAUUUAAUUAAAUGUUAAAAUUUAAAAAGAUAUAAUUACUUACAAAAAUUGAUAAAAUCCGUCGGUAAAUCAGAACACGCGCGGAUGCUGUGACCACAAAACUUCAAGAAAUAUAACUUGUUGUGCUGAUAUGAGGAAGAUUUUUUUUUGGGGGGGGGAGGGGGGGCUGGUUGUUUGCAGAUGGGGAGAGUUGGGAUGAGGAAGAAGGAGAAAUAGGGGAUGAGAGGGUCGGCAGAGCUGUCAUAUAUUAACUUUUUCCGACGGUUUUACCGACGGACACUCCGUCGGUUAUUCUGACGGAAACAUAGACAUGUCACCGUACGGAUCUGCAAUUUCAAAUCCCUCGGUGAGUCCGUCGGCAAUUUAAACGGCGAACCGGUCACAUCACUUUACGGGCACUGUACGGGCAGUCGUUUUGAAUCCGUCGGUGAUUCCGUCGGAAAAAAAUAACCCGCCAAAACCUCCACGUCAGUGACCCGCCUUUUUUUUAAAUUCGAAAACUUUUCCGUCCGUAAUUCAGUCGGUAAAUACCGACGGAAAUUUUCCGUCGGUAUGUACCGACUGAAUUACAGACGGAAAAGUUUUCGUCAGUUUUGACCGACUCAAUUACGGACGGAAAGUGGCCGUCGGUAAUUUCGACCUCAAAAUACCGACAGAAAAUAUUCCGUCGAUAAAUCCGUUGGUAUUUAGCGAAUUUCUGAUAGUGGUGUAUCCACGUCACUUUUGUCACCCAAAUACCUUUCUUUCGGUUCCAUGUUGUGAUGGGCACAUUACUGGACACAGCCAUGCAGGAGCUGUACUGUAUAACAAGCAAAUUCUAUCCUCCAGUACAGUUAGUUCAAUGGCAAGCUGGCGUUGUGUUAUUUGGGCAAGGGAUUAAUUUGCUUACAUUUUGAUCUUCCAUGCAGACUGCAGGAUCUGUCCCUUGGUGGUGGUUAUGUUUACCUUACAAACAACAUUGUAGUAAUCAAUAUUUAAAAAUAGUGCUUUCUGAAUUUCCAUAUCUCAAUUUUAUUAUAUUACCUGUAGAAUAAAAGAAAAUACAAAAAAAAUUCAUUAAAAUCACGUUUUAACCACAAAAACAAUCAGUCAUAAAAAAGCCAACGUAGAGAAUCAGAAUUAAACAACCGCAUUUUUCUUCGGUACCAAAAGUAAACAAAUUGGCCCUGUUUACCUUCUUUUUCUUUUUCAUUUCUUUUCCUGUUCUCCCUCUUUUUUCUUCUUUUUUUGCAUCCCUUUGUUUACUCUCUCUCGUACUUCAUUUUUUCUUUUCUUUCGCAUAUUUAAUUUAUUUAUUUUUGGUUGCAAUCUAUCUGUGCAUCUUUAUCUCUAACAUUUAUUUUUCUUUUUUCUCCUCUAAUUUAUACACAGGAACAAAAAAAUGAAAAGGCAAAAAAGUGUGAUUAAUUGUAUUAAAACACCAUUUGCUAUACACUUAUACUAGAAUUAUUAGUUUUUCUCAUGUUCUUUUUAUUUCUUUUUGUACUUAUCUUCAUGUAUUAAUUUGAACUUUUCAAAUAAUUAUUUCAAUAAAAAAUUUAUAUUUUUUUUAGGAUACAUUAUAGUUUAACACGAGAAUCACAUGUGGGUUAAUUAUGAUUGAGGAGCUGCCUCGAUUCCCCUUCACCAAAAGUUAACAAAUUGGCCCUUCUUCGUCUUCUUUUGCACCCUUCUCUUUACCCUCUCUCUUUGGCCUUCAUUUUUCCUUUUCUUUCACAACAACAAGAAGUUAAACAAACUCCACUGACUCAAGCAAUCAAAACUCAGGUCAUUUAUGCUUGAACUGUAUGCCAUUAGCUUUCUGCAUCCUCUAGCCUCGAUGAUGAAUCUGAUGUUCAUUCCAACCCAACCCGAAGUCAGACCAGUACCAAGCAGAUACACCAUAGAUAAUAUAUCUGAGUUAGAGAUUUUCAUAGCAAUGCCACAAACUCUUCUGCUCUACGGACUCCUUGUAUAGCAAGAACAUCUGCACGGUGACUAAUCUCCCUUGGUGUACGUACGAGUGAAGGAUACUGGACCCAAGCAAGAUGAAAAUCUACCUGCUAGGAUGAAAAGAUCAUUAAAGCGCCACGCACGACCUGAUAAGGGGUUUCUUCAUCCAUUGAACCACAUUUGCAGAGUCUGCUUCAAUGACAAAAUACCUCCCAACAAAGUCCUGCCUAUAUGAUGAUAAUUCCAGAGCUUUAAUUGCUGCAAUCAAUUCAGCCUCGUAUGAUUCUUUAUUUCCCACUGGAAUAGAGAAAACCCCUAGCACCACCCCACCUUGAUUCCGAAUAACAUGUUCCUCGGGGGACCAACAAACAACUGAAUUAAUUUUCUUAAUAUUUGACCAGUUUUUUCAAACCAUCACCAGAUAAAAGUAGAUCAAGAGCACAAUAUGGGAAGUCAGAAUCUAAAGCUUUAAUCCAUACACAAAAUCUAGUUAAAAUAAGGAGGAAUAUGGUGUCGCAAUCUGGAAUUUUAUUUUGAAGACCAAUUCAUUCAAAAAAAGCAUAAACCAUACCUUCCUUUGGAAUUUUCCUUCAACAAGGACUUCCCAUUGCUGAAAAAGGUCAGAAAAAUUUCUUAGGGAACAUCAAGAGAGGCCCCACCAUUCACAGGAUUUUGUCCAGAUUUUCUAGUGAUUUUGACAUUGGAUGACAAGAUGCUCCACAGAUGCUGUUUCCAAAGAAGAAACAGGGCAGGAACCUUCCUCAACUCCAAUAAUGCCUCUUCUAACCAAGACCCCUCUAUUGUUGAUUCUACCCACAAUGGCAAGCCAACAAAAUACUUCCAUCUUGGGAGGGACUAUACCUUUCCAUAUACCCUUGAAGGAAAUGAAAUUGCUAGACCACACAGACUUGACAGAGUACAUCCUAUUCAAUUAGGUUUCCAAAUUAAUCUAUCAUUGGUCUCCUUGGACAGUACAACUUUGGACAGCAGGCCUAACAAGGAGUUGAAUAAAUUGAUCUCCCUGAGUCUAAGAGAACUUCUCCAUUUGAAGUUCCAUAGCGAAUUCAAACCAUCCCAUAUUCCCAUAUUAGCAAUAGAAGAAGCUUUAUCUUGUGAAAGAUUAAAAAGUCUUGGGAAUUGCUCUGCCAACCUAGAAUUACCAAGCCAUAGAUCAUUCCAGAAGCUGGUAUCACAUUCAUUGCCCACUACAACACAAAUUUCAUUCUUAACAAUAUUCUGAAUUUCCUCCUCCUUGGCACAAGCAUCGACAAUGUUACACUAAGAAUUACCCCUUGAAUUAACCAUCUUAAGAGGUAUAUUAAAAGAUGUUUUCUGCUUAUAAAUACUAGAGACCAAAUUUUUCCAUAUACCAAUAUCUAAGUUGCCGUAUCUCCAUAACCAUUUAAAGAUCAAAGCUUUAUUUUUGGCUGAAAUGGAGCCAGUUCCUAGACCACCCUGGCAUUUUGAUGUUACCUGCCUGCUUUUUGAAGUUGUAUAUGCUCUUGAACGUGAGAAAUGCUGAUAUGAAUAACCUAACUUGUCUCCCUUAUUGUUUUUUAAGGAUAAUAAAAAUUUUCAAUUUUUUUUAAUGUUAACUCCUUGUGUAAAGCAUAACUUCUUAGCGAGGCAAAGGAUUUUGCAACACAAAAGUGAAAAGAAAAAGAAAUGUGAUUAUGUUAUAAUUUUAUCUUUUUUUUUUAAAUCUUUUUUCCCUCUUUUAUAAGCACAGAAUAUUGAUGCUUCAACACUCAUAUAUAUCAAAAUAUCUCCCUUUAUCAAUAUUUUCUGUACUUCAAAAAGGUAAUCAAACAAAUACACUAUACAUGUACAUACAUUCAUAAACUAUUCAGAGAAUCAAACUAAAAAAUUUGAUCACAAAUUGUUUUAAAAUUCUUUAUUUUCAAUUUGUAACUAACAAUUUAUUCCAAAUAAUGAAUACUUUUUAAAAAAAAAUACAACUGAAACUUUAUUUGAUAGCAAAUCUAGGACUGAUAAAUGAAACUAAAACAUUUUAUUAUCAUUUUAAAAAAAUAUGAGUAUUUUUUUUUCCAGCAGAGAAUAUUGAUACUUUAACACUCAUAUAUAUCAAAGUAUCUCGCUCACCAAUAUUUUUCAGACUUGAAAAUGUUAAUCGAACACAUUACCUAUAAUCUAAAACAUGUGGAUAAAGUACUCUAGCAAUAAUACUUUCCCCACGUGUUUUAGCAUGACUCUAAAAAAUACAUUUGCUUAUAUAUAUAUAUAUAUAUAUAUAUUUUCAAUUAGUUUUUUGUUUUUUAAUUUUAUCCUUUUAAUAUUAGUUUCUUUUACUGGAUUAUCUUACUCUCAAGACAUGGAUUGCGAGUUUGGCGGAUUUAACCUAGUUGGCUGAGUUUUUAUUCCUUUUUAUUUAAUUAUUUUUCAAUUUUAUCAUUCCAUAUUAGUUUAAUUAGGAAUUAGGCUUCAUGAUUUGUUUUAUUUGCUUUCUAUUAGGUUAAUUCGGUCUCAUGACCUGAUAAUAGUGUUCAAUGGAUUAAUCUUGAGUUAACUCAAGUUAUUUUUUGUGUUUUUUUUGUUUAAUUAAAUUUCUUUUCAAAUUUGUCAUUGAAUAUUAGAUAGGUUAGAAACAUAAUGAAAUUAAAAACAAUUAUAAUUUUAUAAAUUAUUUCAAAUAAAAUAAAUAACAAUAAAAAAAUAAGGAUCAAAUUUUAUAGAUAAAAAAUUCAAUUAAUGAUAGAAAAAAACAAUGAUAAAAAUAAGGACCAAAAUUGAUAUAAGAAUCAAAUUAAAUCAAAUUAUAAGGGAUGAAAUUAAAAAAAAAAGAUUCAGAAGGAAAUAUAUAUAGCAAUCAAAAGUUUGAGGAUCAAAUUUGAUAUAAUUAGUAAAUAACAUGACAUUUCUAAAUUUUUCACAAUUUCUAAAAAGAGUUUUCCAUCCAAAAUAAAAAAAAAAAUUACUUUCCUAAAAACCAAGUCAAAUUUUUCUUUAAUUGCAAAGUAUUUUUUGUUGAUUAAUUUUUUUAAUGACAAACAAACAUAAAAAAAUUUUAAAAAUAAUUUUUAAAAAACCACUUUACAUGAAAAAAAAAAAAAAAAAGAUAUAGAGCCUGUGAAUUACUAUAUAUCCAAUACUUAAACUCACAAAGUUUUUUUUUAAAAAAAAAAAAAGCUAAUUAUGAAGCAAGCACGGAUAUAUAAAAUCAAAUAUACGUGGAUUUUAAAUUAUAUAUAGUUUACACUAUUAUAUAUAAAUUAUUUAAUUCUCCAGACUCGAGCACAAAAUCCUACCAUGAUCUCCCACCGCGCUGGACCCGUGUAGAGCAGUUCUACCAUUAGGGCCGCCGUAGUCCACUGAGAUGCAAUUUCUUAAGAUUUCAUUGACUACCUUUCUAAGUUCUUUGCUCGGCCUCGAGACAAUGGAAGCAGCAAUAUAAAGUGGAGUUUCUUCAUGAACAUUGGCGGAAUAUGAAAAAUAUGGGUCCUCUUUAGUCAAUAUUUCCACCACGUGGCCCCGCCUAUUUCGAGCUGCCUCGUGCAACGCUGUAUCUUGCUCUACAUUGGUCAUCCUCAACAUCUUUUUUGCUUCUGUUACUCCGCUCUCUGGAUCAGUAGGUCGAGCUCUGGCGCGGUCAAUGAGGACUCUUACCACGUUGGAAUGCCCAUAUCUUGCUGCCAAAUGGAGUGGGAUUUCACCUUUCUUAUUGGCCUGCAAUAAUAGUGGUGGACACAUUUCAAGAAUUUUAUCAACAAAAUAAGUGGAUUCCGGUUCACUGCUUUGGUUUCCUAAGCAGACAUGAAGAAUGGUGUUCUCGUCUGGAGUGAAUAACUGAUUGAGGCAGGUUUGAUCAUUCUCAAAGGGACCGAUAUUGCCUGCUUCUGCAGCUUUGAACAAGACAGGAUCCAUAUAGGUCGUCAUACUAUUUUGUAGCUUAGAGAAGCUCACUAAAUGAAAAGUGCACAAAUGAAGGGGAGGUGAAAUUAACCACUGUGGCUCAAAGGCAAGAGGUUCCACUCCUCAACUGAUCACAAGC